rnacentral:rRNA from 1 species
UACGUAGGGGGCUAGCGUUGUCCGGAAUCAUUGGGCGUAAAGAGCGUGUAGGCGGUCCGGUAAGUCCGCUGUGAAAGUCGGGGGCUCAACCCUCGAAUGCCGGUGGAUACUGUCGGGCUAGAGUGCGGAAGAGGCGAGUGGAAUUCCUGGUGUAGCGGUGAAAUGCGUAGAUAUCGAGAGGAACACCUGCGGCGAAGGCGGGUUGCUGGGCCGACACUGACGCUGAUGCGCGAAAGCUAGGGGAGCGAACGGG